rnacentral:rRNA from 1 species
UACGUAGGGGGCAAGCGUUGUCCGGAAUCAUUGGGCGUAAAGAGCGUGUAGGCGGUUCAGUAAGUCUGCUGUGAAAGUCCAGGGCUCAACCCUGGGAUGCCGGUGGAUACUGGAUGGCUCGAGUCCGGAAGAGGAGUGUGGAAUUCCUGGUGUAGCGGUGAAAUGCGCAGAUAUCAGGAGGAACACCGAUGGCGAAGGCAGCACUCUGGGACGUGACUGACGCUGAGACGCGAAAGCGUGGGGAGCAAACAGG